AUUGAACGCUGGCGGCAGGCCUAACACAUGCAAGUCGAGCGGAUGAAGGGAGCUUGCUCCUGGAUUCAGCGGCGGACGGGUGAGUAAUGCCUAGGAAUCUGCCUGGUAGUGGGGGAUAACGUCCGGAAACGGGCGCUAAUACCGCAUACGUCCUGAGGGAGAAAGUGGGGGAUCUUCGGACCUCACGCUAUCAGAUGAGCCUAGGUCGGAUUAGCUAGUUGGUGGGGUAAAGGCCUACCAAGGCGACGAUCCGUAACUGGUCUGAGAGGAUGAUCAGUCACACUGGAGCUGAGACACGGUCCAGACUCCUACGGGAGGCAGCAGUGGGGAAUAUUGGACAAUGGGCGAAAGCCUGAUCCAGCCAUGCCGCGUGUGUGAAGAAGGUCUUCGGAUUGUAAAGCACUUUAAGUUGGGAGGAAGGGCAGUAAGUUAAUACCUUGCUGUUUUGACGUUACCAACAGAAUAAGCACCGACUAACUUCGUG
rnacentral:rRNA from 1 species